rnacentral:rRNA from 1 species
GGGCUCAACCUGGGAACUGCAAUCGAAACUGGCAGGCUAGAGUCUUGUAGAGGGGGGUUGAAUUCCAGGUGUUGCGGUGAAAUGCGAAGAGAUCUGGUGGAAUAACGGUUGCGAAGGCGGCACCCUGGACAAAGACUGACGCUCAGGUGCGAAAGCGUGGGGAGCAAACAGGAUUAGAUUCCCUGGUAGUCCACGCCGUAAACGAUGUCGAUUUGGAGGUUGUGCCCUUGAGGCGUGGCUUCCGGAGCUAACGCGUUAUAUCGACCGCCUGGGGAGUACGGCCGCAAGGUUAAAACUCAAAUG